rnacentral:rRNA from 1 species
GAUGAACGCUGGCGGCGUGCCUAAUACAUGCAAGUCGAGCGAACAGAUGAGGAGCUUGCUCCUCUGACGUUAGCGGCGGACGGGUGAGUAACACGUGGAUAACCUACCUAUAAGACUGGGAUAACUUCGGGAAACCGGAGCUAAUACCGGAUAAUAUAUUGAACCGCAUGGUUCAAUAGUGAAAGACGGUUUUGCUGUCACUUAUAGAUGGAUCCGCGCCGCAUUAGCUAGUUGGUAAGGUAACGGCUUACCAAGGCAACGAUGCGUAGCCGACCUGAGAGGGUGAUCGGCCACACUGGAACUGAGACACGGUCCAGACUCCUACGGGAGGCAGCAGUAGGGAAUCUUCCGCAAUGGGCGAAAGCCUGACGGAGCAACGCCGCGUGAGUGAUGAAGGUCUUCGGAUCGUAAAACUCUGUUAUUAGGGAAGAACAAAUGUGUAAGUAACUUUGCACGUCUUGACGGUACCUAAUCAGAAAGCCACGGCUAACUACGUG